rnacentral:sRNA from 1 species
AAUGCUGGGCGAAGAGAGAGAGAGAAAUAUUCCCAUCCGCACCCCUUCCGCUACAUUGUGUCAUCUCUAUCUGUAUCCCUUUUUCCCGAGCUUUCAUUUGAAAUUGAUGGAGUUUUUAGGCUGACAAGUUCGUAUUAAACUUCACCUGGCUGAUGAGUUGACAGUAGUCUGCCGAUGCGGAUACCAAGAGUGAGGCAAUCCGAUAUAUGGAUGGGCGAUCUUCUUUCUUUUUUUUUUUUUUUUCAAGUCAACGUAGCUACCUCGCAAGGCUUGCAUGGCCUUUGUUGUCGUGACGCAUAGUACCUGAAAUAGCACCUGAACCGCUCCUGCUUUUGCUAGUAGCAUCGGCUGUACUCACGACGGAGGAUAUUCAGCUGCCCAGAAACAAUAAGCAAAUGAGUAGCCAAUUUCGAUCAAGAAUAAAUUAGGA